UGUCUCUGGCUCGUCUUGGCCGUGGACCUCGCCUCUGGCUCGUCUUGGCCGUGGACCUUGUCUCUGGCUCGUCUUGGCCCUGGACCUCGCCUCUGGCUCGUCUUGGCCGUGGACCUUGUCUCUGGCUCGUCUUGGCCGUGGACCUUGUCUCUGGCUCGUCUUGGCCGUGGACCUCGCCUCUGGCUCGUCUUGGCCGUGGACCUCACCUCUGGCUCGUCUUGGCCGUGGACCUCGCCUCUGGCUCGUCUUGGCCGUGGACCUCACCUCUGGCUCGUCUUGGCCGUGGACCUCGCCCUCACCCGUCUUCUGGCCGUGGACUCUCGUCUCAGGCUCUCUCUUCGGCCGUGGACCUCGUCUCUGGCUCGUCUUGGUCAGAGUUCUCACUCUGCUUUAAAGACGCAGUCCACCUUAAAAAACACCCAUGGAGGAUUGUUUAGGAACUAAAUCCGUUCUCCCUUAAAUCAGGAGCAAAAAAAUAAUUCAACUCAAUAAAAGAUAAAAUUAAUAAAAUAAAUAUUACGAAAUGUUUAUGUUUGAAAUGAAGAAAAACAAAUGGAUUCAAGUCUUUAAUUCCUGAGUUUGUUUAGGUUUAUAUAUAUCUUUAAUUACUUACGCUUGUGACUUUAAGUAGAUGUACUUUGAGGUAUUUUUUUUAACUGAAGUGGUUUGUCUCAUAUUUAUAACAAUGUGGAAACAAUGUGGAAAGAAAAAAAAGUCAAAUUAGUUAAAAACAAAUAACUGCCAGAAUUUAAAUUAAAUUAAAAUUUAAAUAAAUUUAAUUAAAGAAAAUAUAACUAAAGAAUUAUCAUUAAUUAAUUAAUUAAUUAGCAGAAUUAAAGAAAAAAAUAGCUGAAUCAAAUUAGCUAAAAACAGACAAAAGAAAAACAAUUGCCAGGAUUAGCCCGUUUGCUGUUGCUAAAGGGUUGACGGCAGAAUGAAACACCUUCUUUGAACUGUUGUAACCCUUUGACCGUUUUCACAAUUCUGUUCGAUUCGAUGACGAGCCGGAGGCGUGGUCCACAGCCGGAGGCAGGAGCGCAGAGGGCCUCCGCUCACACGCAAGAAUCAAUCUCCAGCCGGAAGCGGAAGUUUCCUAAACUUUAGGAAACCCUUUGAAAAUGUUUUAAGACCUUUUCAGAAUCAGCUUUUAAGCUUUAAAUGUAAAUAAACUGUGACUGUUACAGUUUAGAGUGAAGACGAGCUUCAAACGGGACAGGGAACCGUCAUCGUUUGAUUUCUGUAAAGUCAGUUUUAGCAAGAGAUUAAAAAUGUUUAGCUACACCGGUUUACCUCCGGAGAAAAAGCAGAAAACAUGAGGUUUACAUAAGCGGUUACGGAAUGUCAAAGGGAAAAAAGGUCGAAAGCUUGAGACGGGGGGGUCCAGAAAAGGAUUUCUGACCAAUAAUUUUGGGCGCAAAUUAUGCCGGCUCCGG
rnacentral:lncRNA from 1 species